ACCCUCUCCCUCGUCGCAUCGCACCAUCAAUCAAUCGAUCGAUCGAUCGCGUCGCCAUCGGCAACGCCACCGCACGCAAGCAGCAAGCAGCUGAUCUCUCGCUCGAUCGAUCGAUCUCGGGAAACUUGGAUUUAUACCCAUGGCGCCUCGCGCAGCGCUCUUCCUCGCCGCGCUCCUCUUCGUCGCCAUGGUGGUAGUGCCGGUGGCGAGGGCGGCGGAGGAGUCAUCCGCCGAGUCCCCCUCCUCCGAGUCCUCCUCCGAGUCGUCGUCGUCGUCCUCCGCCGACGCGCCGGCGGAGGGGCCCGACGGGCCGGCGGCGGCGCCCGGCCCCGGCGAGGGGAUCGACGGCCUCUCCGACGACAACGACGACGACUCCUCCAACUGAGCCCGGCCGGCCGGCCGGCCUCGUCGACCUCGCGUCGUGAACAAUCCGUUAAUUUGAUUGAUGAUCUGGAGCGAUUAAUAAGGAUAUAUAUAUAUGGUCGUCGUCCUGCGAUUUGAUUACAACUUGUUCUCUCCUCGUUUUUUUUUUCGGAUGAAAUUUUCUCAUUCUCUAGAUUAAUUAGUUUGUAAUCGCAGCCUAUCGUAUUUGUGUUCUUUGGACUUCAUUUCUCCUGUAACAGUUUUUAAUUGUUGUCUACUAAUUUGAGAUAUGGACAGUUUUAUAUUUGUUCUAGCA